CCCUUAGAUGUCCUGGGCCGCACGCGUGCUACACUGACACUUACACCGAGUUUUUCCGGCCCCGAGAGGUGGCUGGUAAUCAGUAAUAGGUGUCGUGAUGGGGAUAGAUCUUUGGAAUUAUUGAUCUUGAACGAGGAAUGCCUAGUAAUCGUAGGUCAUCAGCCUGCGAUGAUUACGUCCCUGCCCUUUGUACACACCGCCCGUCGCUCCUACCGAUUUCGAGUGGUCCGGUGAACCUUUCGGACAGAGAGAGUCUCGUACAAUCUCUGAAAGUCAGGUAAACCACAUCACUUAGAGGAAGGAGAAGUCGUAACA
rnacentral:rRNA from 1 species